rnacentral:rRNA from 1 species
GACGAACCGUGCGAACGUUGUUCGGAAUCACUGGGCUUAAAGGGCGCGUAGGCGGGCUCACAAGUCAGGGGUGAAAUCCCACGGCUCAACCGUGGAAGUGCCUUUGAUACUGUGGGUCUUGAGGGAGGUAGGGGCGUGCGGAACUUCCGGUGGAGCGGUGAAAUGCGUAGAUAUCGGAAGGAACACCGGUGGCGAAAGCGGCGCGCUGGACCUCUACUGACGCUGAGGCGCGAAAGCUAGGGGAGCAAACAGG